UGAAAUUAUUUAACUCUUUGCACAGGUUGUCACUGAGUUCAGGUUCCUGAGUUUACAGUCUCAACUUUCCAUUAUUGUUGGGUAUUUAUAGGAAUUUAUGAUGUUUCUUAAGGUUUAAGGUAAGGUUUGUUGGUUGUAUUGGUGUGGUUACUGAAAGGUCUGUUCCUUUGUUUUUUAGUGUUACACUUUUGAGUGUAAGUGUACGAAAUUCUAUGGACAUUUGAGUGUAAAAUGACAGCGGAUGUGACAGCGGACAGUAUUAAACGAAAAUUAUCGGUGUGCCAAUCAAGCAAAGGGACAAGGAACUUCCGAAUAUGGCCUAACUGGGGGCACAUAACAUAACAUAACCUAAUCCUAAUAUUUACAUUUGUAAAGAAUAUCCUGUUUGUUUUUAUUGUCGAUUGUGCAGCGAAAUUGUGUGCAGCAAAUCAAAUAUAAAGUAGUUUAUCGCCUACAGAACUGAAUUAGUCCAUAGCAGUUAUCAGUUUUUCUUUCUUGGGAAGCUUAUACAUGUAACUUGUAUUGUUGUAAAUUGUGGGAGUAGGGCAGACAGGGAAAAGUCUUAUUUUGUACUGUUCCCAAGGCUCCCCAUGCAAUACAUUUAAAUGAAUUAUCCAAACAAAGCCGGGGACAAUGGAUAAAAGCCACAAGAAGAACAGAUAUAAGGGAACUAAAAUUAAAAUAUGAAAAGUAAACAUUUUAUAAGUGGAACAACACCAGAUAUUUAAAAGGUAUAAAAAGAAGAAACUGCUGGAAUUUCAAAACAAAUGUGUUUGACUAGUAAAGAUUUGGAUAAAUAACAGGAGUUACUUUGGGCUAUAGCUACGUGCAGAUUUAUUUCCUUGUGGCUUCCUAUGUUAAUUCUUAUUAAUUAUACACUUAAAUAUGUUUUUAGUCUCAGGAAGAUUUUAUAUUUGAUUAUUUUUGAAUAAACAUUAUUAUUAUUAUUACCUUAAUUUCCAUUAAAUAAAUUAACUGUAAUCAAUAAAGUAAUCGUUUAAUUGUUAAUAAAUUAUCAAGUAUGA